AUACGGAGGGUGCAAGCGUUAUCCGGAUUUACUGGGUUUAAAGGGUGCGUAGGCGGGUUUGUAAGUCAGUGGUGAAAGCCCGGAGCUUAACUCCGGAACUGCCAUUGAUACUGCAUACCUUGAGUACAGUUGAGGUGGGCGGAAUGCAGCAUGUAGCGGUGAAAUGCUUAGAUAUGCUGCAGAACACCGAUUGCGAAGGCAGCUCGCUAAACUGUAACUGACGCUGAGGCACGAAAGCGUGGGGAGCGAACAGGAUUAGAAACCCUAGUAGUCC
rnacentral:rRNA from 1 species